rnacentral:lncRNA from 1 species
AACUCCACUAAAACUCUCUCAAUCAUCCAAAAUCGCAGCUGAAAUCACAAGUUCGAGCAGAUUGUUCAGCCUUCACUAAACUUCAAGCUUGAUGAAGAAGGACUUGGUGUUCCAACCUCCUAAUCAACAACAACUCACUCGCGGAUUCACAAGUAGAAGACUUGCAAAACCGUGCUGUUAUCUGAUGAUUGUUGAUGCAUGCUAUACAUAGGAUGGACUCAUGCCUUAGCGACUUUAAAACUUGAAAGAUAAUAGUUGUAUCUAUCUGAUUUGUAAUAAACAAUGAGUACAAUAAUUCAAUAAAAUGA